GGGAGCUUGUGCUGAGGCAUCAGAUGUGACUCUUCCUUUCAGAAAGGAAUUUGACAGUUGCAGCUGUGCAGUCUUGUCUCUGCAGUGUGUCACAGGACCUGAUAGGAGAGCCCUUUAUUACUGAAAUUCAGUAAGACUUGCUUAUUAGCUUGGAAAGGUCAGCUGCGGAAGCACUACAGCGUCACCCAGAAUAUCCUGACAGAAGGGGAGAAGCCCUUGGCCAGUGAGACAGCAAGAUGCAAUUUACUGCUGGAACGUCUGCAAGAGGUUGCUUUCGUACCUGAAAGGAUUUCUUCCUCAAUACACAUACAAACAAAUUAUGGGAAGGUCACUGUUUUCAUGAACAGUUUGCCUGUUGCAGUCCGAGAGAUUUAAAGCUGUGUGGCUCACAGGGGAACAAAACUAUAGCUGCUCAACUUUGAUUGAGAUGAUGAGUGACAAGACAGUGUUUCAGUGCUGCUGGAUACGUUUUGAUUUAUUCCAUUCUUAUGAGUUGGGACCCUCCUAAGUUACUGAGAAAUCCAUACUUUACAGGAAGAUUGAAGAAGAACCAAAAGUCCUGCCCCCACCUGUGGGAAUGCAAGAAGAACUGUAUGGAGCAGCAGCUGUGGAGUAAGAUAAACAGCAUGAGAAGCAAGGACACCACUAGAAGAAGAAGGAACAGCUUGCAGCUCUAAUUGGGCAACUGCUGGCUCAUACGCCUGAGGGAUUUCUGCUAAGGCUUUAAAAGCAAGGGCUAUAUGAGUGCUAUUUCAGAGUUAAACACCUGGUACCUGUAAGGCACAAUGUGGAAAAGCAGCUAAAGACAGCAUCUGGUAAAAUAUGCUCUAUAGCAAAGCAUACGAGCACAGUGUGAUGUUGAGAAAAUUGAAUUCAUUUUGAAAGCAUGAUGGUGAUCUUUCUUGAACUCUUAAGCUCCAAAUGACUCCUGAAUCUGACUAUGUAUGUUCAGCAUAAAAACUCUCAGCUUAAGAUCACUUUUGUCAGUGUUUCAUGGCACUUGGGGGCAGCACCACAAAUGAGGAACUGGAGAACACAACUCAGCUCAUUGAGGUAAUUGCUUCAUUCCUUCUGAAAUCAAAGCAUUAUGACAAACUUUGAAACUCUCUGGCCUGUAAAGAAGCAGCAGACAGGUAACAUUUGUGGUUCAGAUCUUUCAAAUUAAUAUUAACUAAGUAAACAUUCUUCAGCAAUGAAUUUGGUUAGUUGUUGCUCUUCAAAAAGAGCUGUUUCCUGUUCUGUUUGCUUAGACUACCCUGAAAAUAAGGUGUACUUAACUGGCAUUGCAUGGGUGAAGUACUAUAUGCAGAAAUGUUAAACAUUAAGGAAGUGCCAUUUAUGUCACUAUUUACAAUUAGGCAAAGGAGAAGCUGUUCCAGACAUUAUAUUUAAAUACAAGUUUAUUUUUUCAACCCCAACAAAAAUUAUUUUCUGUAUAUAAUCUCAUAAACUUAUAUGGAGUUACAACAGGGAUCAGCCAAACCAUUUCUUAAGAAGAAAGGCUUUUUUUCCUCCAGCACUGAUGCUGUCAGGCAGCCAUGUGGGUACUGGUCUUACAUCCAUGUAUCGGUACCAAGGAGUCAUUAUUACGAGAACACCCUCUGAAAAUGCAUCAUUCAGCAGUUACAUCAAUUUAAUCAAUUUACAUCACAUUCUGUGUUUUACUACUGAGACUUCUAACUGUUCAGUUUUUAAUGUAAUCAUAAAUGCUAGAUUUGCAUAUUGCUGUGACUAAUUUUUACUACUGCAGCUGUGACAAAUGAAACUAUGCAGCCUUAUCUGCACAUUUAAACUACAUUUUAGUAGCUAGUGGACUCUGGUUGUUUUCCCUUUUGUUUGAACUAGGCUGGUUGCACGAAUGUAGUGGAGUCCAGAUUCCAAGCUCAGCUUUUUAAAUGUGUGUGAGAUCCACAGUAUGUGGAGAUACACUGUCCUGUUAAUUAACAUAUUUAAAUUAGAGCAAUUAAACUUGGCAAGAGGAAAUGCAGCAUCAUACAGAGAAUGUAAUUGGUUGGGAAAGCAAAUAACAGAAAAAAACAGCAUAAUAAAAAAUCAGAAACAAUGUAUAGAUUUAAGCCUGCCAAUAGUAUUUUGCAGGCUUAAAUCAAACUGCAUCACAACAGAUUACAAAAACUAAUCAUUAAUAAUAAGUUUUAGAAAACACUACCUCACAGAAAAAGAUAUUCAAGCCCUGACUGAAACAUGAAGAAGCACCUGAAGAUGGGAUAAUUGAAAAUUAAUUUCACUAUAGCAAAUGGUGAUAAAACUAAGAAAAUUGAAUCAGGCUUGGGAUAGAAUGAACUAUGUAGUCUGGAAAGAUCUUUAGAGAUCUAUCAGAAAGUAAACACGUAUCUUUUUUGUGUCUGUAGCAGCCAGGAAAUCUUUCUGUCAUACCAGAAAAAUUGGUGGCAGAAACACUCGGUUUGGGUAUUUAUUUUUUUAAGACACAGGAAAGCAUUGAACAAUUAAUGAAAAACAAUAAUAAAAAGGGGGAGAGUUGCAAAAAAGUCUUAAUUGCAGCAAAAUGCAGAUUUUAUAGCUGAAAAUAGUUUGGCUUGGUUUUGGCAGCAGCUCCCAGUAAUGAUAUAUUUGCAUUGGUCUUUAGAUAACUGGGAUUACCUAAUGAGAGCUAGUCUUAUGCUAUGCUAUUGAUAUUGAAAAGCAUCACGUCUCUGAGUACAGCUGCUGUCCUGAGUAACAAGUUGAUAUGACAACUCUUUUAGAAAUAAAUUGGAUGCCUUUUUGAGAGCUGACAGUUGUGGAAGCUGAAGGCAGUAAGCUUCAGGAGUACAGGCUGGUGAGGCAGGUGAUUCACACGUUGACAUCUGCUGAGUGGUGAGGAAUUGAAGUUUUACUUUAUUUAGUAUAUUUGUGUAUAUUUAGUAUAUAUAAAUGUAUAUAGAUAUAUAUGUAUUUAUAUAUAAUAUAAUUAUAUUUAUGUUUAUAUAUACAUACAUUUAAAUAUGUAAAUGAAAAUAGUUGUAUCUGAUGUUUGCGCUGGAAAGUAUGAAUUGCUGUGGGAACCUGGUAAAUAACCUCUCUAAGGAAAAACGACUAUUAGAACUAAGAAUGUGCAACUACUGUGACUUCGGUGAAUUUAGGAAACCUACAGAAUUAAUUGCCACAGGCAUCAGUGUUCAGUGACUGACUAGAUUUUAUUUUUAGUGGGCUGUGUUACUUUUAAGAACACUGAGAAAAACAAACUGUUACAGGCACAAUGAGAUCAUCAUUUGGACAAAACAAAUGGGAGCCUUAACAAAGGGAGCGCAAGAGGGCUCUAGAAGUAGCUCCCCUUUAUGGUGCUACAGUGAGCCUCUGGCUCUGAAGAGAGUUCUUUUCUGGGAAACAGCAAGCAUUGAUCACUGUUGGAGGCAGCUUGCUGGACAAGGACAAAGCUGGACUAAGAGUGCGGGAAGGAAGUUCAUACUGCAUAGAAACUGAACUGAAGAUCAUGCUAGAAGAAGUGCUACGCUGCAAAAAGCAACCCUGUGUGCAGACAUGCCUUUCUCUGGAGGAAGGAACGGGCCCAAGAUGGGGGGAAUAUAUUUGGAGGUCUUUUUAGAGGUUUUGUGGGAUGGAUAUAAAAUCUGCUAAAAUUAGUUUGUCUUAAUACUUUUUGCUGUCUUUUGGUUUGUGUUCCAUGUUUGUUGCUGUGUACAGAAAAAAAGAUACAGGAUGCUAUGAACUGUGCUUUUUCUAUUAAUAAAGAAGGGGGAGAUGUGGGGGUAGAUGUAACUGUGAGCAAGUCACCAAAGAGCUUAUAGAUUCUU